rnacentral:rRNA from 1 species
CCUACGGGUGGCUGCAGUGGGGAAUAUUGCACAAUGGAGGGAACUCUGAUGCAGCGACGCCGCGUGAGUGAAGAAGGUCUUCGGAUCGUAAAACUCUGUCCUUGGUGAAGAUAAUGACGGUAGCCAAGGAGGAAGCCCCGGCUAACUACGUGCCAGCAGCCGCGGUAAUACGUAGGGGGCGAGCGUUGUCCGGAUUUACUGGGCGUAAAGGGUGAGUAGGCGGUUGUAUAUGUCAGGUGUAAAAGGCUAUGGCUUAACCAUGGUUAGCACUUGAAACUGUACAACUUGAGUGCAGGAGAGGUAAGUGGAAUUCCUAGUGUAGCGGUGAAAUGCGUAGAUAUUAGGAGGAACACCAGUGGCGAAGGCGACUUACUGGACUGUAACUGACGCUGAGGCACGAAAGCGUGGGUAGCAAACAGGCUUAGAUACCCUGGUAGUC